rnacentral:misc_RNA from 1 species
CGACCCUCAAGUAUAACUUGGUGUUGGGUGAAGUCCCUUAAGGGGACUAGCCCCUAACUUGUAGGCGGUAAUCACCUUUUUUCCCUCAGCGUAGCAGGCUUACGCACUCGCUCAGGGAUAGGUGAUUUGACUCGCUAAAUAAAAACCCUUUUUUAAAG